rnacentral:rRNA from 1 species
GCUGAUGCUGACAGCGGAGGGAUCAUCUCCCGAAGUUUUACAACUUCCCCAAACCCAAUGUGAACGUUACCAAACUUGUUGCCUCGGCGGGAUCUCUGCCCCGGGUGCGUCGCAGCCCCGGACCAAGGCGCCCGCCGGAGGACCAACCAAAACUCUUUUUGUAUACCCCCUCGCGGGUUUUUUAUAAUCUGAGCCUUCUCGGCGCCUCUCGUAGGCGUUUCGAAAAUGAAUCAAAACUUUCAACAACGGAUCUCUUGGUUCUGGCAUCGAUGAAGAACGCAGCGAAAUGCGAUAAGUAAUGUGAAUUGCAGAAUUCAGUGAAUCAUCGAAUCUUUGAACGCACAUUGCGCCCGCCAGUAUUCUGGCGGGCAUGCCUGUCCGAGCGUCAUUUCAACCCUCGAACCCCUCCGGGGGGUCGGCGUUGGGGAUCGGCCCUGCCUCUUGGCGGCGGCCGUCUCCGAAAUACAGUGGCGGUCUCGCCGCAGCCUCUCCUGCGCAGUAGUUUGCACACUCGCAUCGGGAGCGCGGCGCGUCCACAGCCGUUAAACACCCAACUUCUGAAAUGUUGACCUCGGAUCAGGUAGGAAUACCCGCUGAACUUAAGCAUAUCAAAAAGGCGGAGGA